AGAGUUUGAUCAUGGCUCAGGAUGAACGCUUGCGGCGUGCCUAAUACAUGCAAGUCGAACGAAUGCUUCGAUACCUUGGUCUCACGAACUUAGCGCCCGACGGCUGAGUGACCUGUGGUGAACCUGCCCAUCCCACUGGGAUUGCUCCGGGAAACCGUGGCUAAUACCCGAUAUCAUUUUGAGCUGCAUGAUUCGAAAUUUCAAGAUGGCUUUGCCUGUCACUUAUGGAUGGACCCGCUAAUGGUUAACUAGUUGGUGAGGUAACGGCUCACCUGAGAAGCCAAUCGUACCCAACCUGACUGAGAGAUCGGCCACACUGCUACUGAGACCCGGCCCAGACUCCUACGGGAGGCAGCAGAAAGGAAUCUUCCGCAACGGACCAAGGUCUGACAGAGCCCCCCCGCCUGAGUGAUCAUUGCUUUCGGAUCAAAUUUCUCUGUUGUUAUCGAAUAACCCCUGCUUAUUGAAUAGCCUGGCACCUUGACAGUACCUAAGCAGAAAGCCACGGCUAACUACAUGGCAGCAGCCGCGGUAAUACGUAGGUGGUCAGCGCUAUCCGGAAUUAUUGGGCGUACAGCGCGCGCAGGUGGUUGCUUACUGCUGAUGUGAAAGCCCACGGCUCAACCGUGGAGGGUCAUUGGAAACUGGGAGACUUGAGUGCAGAAGAGGAAAGUGGAAUUCCAUGUGUAGCGGUGAAAUG
rnacentral:rRNA from 1 species